rnacentral:rRNA from 1 species
ACGAUAUGCUUUGGGGAGCUGUAAGUAAGCUUUGAUCCAGAGAUUUCCGAAUGGGGAAACCCAGCAUGAGUUAUGUCAUGUUAUCGAUAUGUGAAUACAUAGCAUAUCAGAAGGCACACCCGGAGAACUGAAACAUCUUAGUACCCGGAGGAAGAGAAAGAAAAUUCGAUUCCCUUAGUAGCGGCGAGCGAAACGGGAAGAGCCCAAACCAACAAGCUUGCUUGUUGGGGUUGUAGGACACUCUAUACGGAGUUACAAAGGACGACAUUAGACGAAUCAUCUGGAAAGAUGAAUCAAAGAAGGAAAUAAUCCUGUAGUCGAAAAUGUUGUCUCUCUUGAGUGGAUCC